rnacentral:tRNA from 1 species
GGGAUGGGUAGCCUAGUGGACAUGGCAUCUGCCUGGUAAGCGGAACACUGUGGGUUCGUUUCCCACACAUCCCU